CUUUGAUGCAGGACUUCUCCAAACAGCAGUGGGAAUAGAGCAAUCAAUCUCAGCAGGUGGAAGUGUCAAAUGGAAACAUUUUGAUGAAUGGAGUUGGCAGAAAUAUAACAGAAGAAUUCUCUGGGUCAGUCAAGCUAUUUUGCACUUACAUAUAUUAGACAAAGCUGGUUUCACCCUCAUCAACCCAGAAUAGAAGAGACAAAUGGGGUUACCUAUUUCCUGAUAAAUCCUUUUAGGCAGCAAGUGCUCUCCUUCUGUUUUUCAUGCAUGUGGGAGUCUCCAGCAUUUACAUUAGCAAGAGUAACAGCCGUGGUGGCAGCAUCUGGAUCCUUGAUUGACAGCAUUAUGGAAAGUUACUGGCCAGAUACUCCUUACUUAAGUUGGCACCAAUCAACUUGCCUGGGGAUCAGUCAAAUGGGGUGAGGUGAGGGGGACUUCAGGAGAUCCUUCCCAGAUGGAUGCCAAAUUCCUUUGAUAGCCCUGUCAUUGUCAAGAAUUUCUUCAAGUUUAUGUGUAUAAGAAUAAAAUCUUGUUCAAGUUUAUGAUGAUUUCUUCCACAUGUUAAGACCCUUUUUAUGACACAGAACAAAGGCCAAAAUCAUUCAAGUAGAGGCAAACGGAGGGUUCAAAAGAUCUAUUGGCUGACACACAAUUUGAUGCAUUAUUAAACUACAUAUUUCACCAUGUGAUAGAGAAUUCAUUUUUCAAUGUGUUAGAUGAAAUAAAAUUUCUACCAAAAUGAAAGAACCCUUUUGAGAUGUCAGAUUUACAGCACAGCUGAAAAGAUUAAUGACUUCAACCCAGAGAAAUUUUAUUUACAGAUAAUGCAAAGAAAGAACAAGCUGAUUUCAUAGUUUGACACCAACGAAUGAACAGAACAUUUAUCUAGUAAAACUAUCACUUUCUUUUAGAUGCCAAGAGCAAAUUUGCUGAGGUUAACCACAAAUGAAGAUUUAUAGUAUAUAAGGGUUAGAUGAAAUACUAAAAAACCUUAACUUUCUGAUGUUUAAUUCCUCGGCAAAUGUCUGCUUUUGUCAGGCUAUGCUUUGAGACCACCAGUGAUAGAAGUUCUCUACUUUCUGAGGCAGACAAUUGAAAAGUAUAUCCUUGUCUUUCAUGGAACUUAUUAACCCUCUAGAUAAUAUGAUCUAACAAUAUCUGUGGUAUCUGAUACCACUUAUGUUAGUCUGCUUUCCAGAUAUUUGAAGGCAACCAUUUUAUCCUACCACUCUUCCUAUUUUGACUCAGCCAUUUUCAGGACAGCUGACUCACCUUCCAACAAUUAUGGUUUGUAUAUUUUAUAACCAUUUAUUUCCCUUGCAUACAUUUCAAUUUGAAUAUAGUUCCUAAAGUGUAAUUCUUAAAACUAAGUAAGACUAAAUUUGAACCAACCAUUCUGGAAUAUAACACAUUUAAUAAUUACAAACCAAG
rnacentral:lncRNA from 1 species